GAGCAAGCUGUGGAGAGCAAGCCAGUAAGCAGCCUUCCGGUGUGGAAUGACCUCUGCUUCAGCUCCUACCUUGAGCUGCCUAAGCUU
rnacentral:miRNA from 1 species